rnacentral:lncRNA from 1 species
GUGUGUGUGUGUGUAUUAUAUUAGCAUAAUUAUCUUUAAGUCACAUAGUUCUCCAUGUAAAGUGUCACACAAGAAAAUCCUAAUGAAACAAGUCUCGUCACUGUGCAUUUGGGGAGAAAUAAACAUUGGAUUAGCGCUGAAAUGUGCUCAAAACAAGUAUUGGUUGAUCCUUCCGUAUCUCAGUCUAUAUUUCAAUUGAAUAAGGGUUGAAAAUAAGCAUGCAGUGAAGGAAAGAUCGAUACUAGCGCACAUUUUUCAUUCUUAUUAGAUGUCUUCAGCUAAGCAUAGUUUUUUUUACCGUAUCUUUGCCUAGAUUUGUAACAAUAAAAUUGUUUAUAGUCCAACUAAACUUUGGUAGUCAUCGGAAUAUUUGAGAUACACCAACAACUAUUCCAAGAGUUACUACGGUAAUAGGUAUAAUAAUGAAUAUUAUUAUUAUUAAUAAUAUUAUUAUUAUUAUUAUUAUUAUUUUAUAUAUAUAUAUAUAUAGCGCCAUAGGGUCACACAAAUUUCUAGGGACAAGAGUAUUCAAUCGUCUCUCUUCCAGUAUAUUACUGGGGUUUAUAUUUGGUGGGGUCGGGUGUCCUAUACACGGAUGGAGGAAAGAUAAAGUCGGCACUGGUGAGAUUUGAACACACAACUCAAAUGUAGCAAUUAAAUACCACUGGACACUUUUGUCAAACGCAAAAUCGUCAUCAGCCAGUGAAUACUACUAAUAAUAAUUAGUAUGUUUGCCUUAAGGGCAACGAUAACAAUAAUAGCAACAACCAACAGCAAAAAAAACAGCAACAACAAUUCUACUACUACUACUACUACUACUAAUAAUAAUAAUAAUAAUAAUAAUAAUAAUAAUAAUAAUAAUAAUAAUAAUAAUAAUAAUAACAAUAAUAAUAAUAAUAAUGAUAAUAAUCUCUUUAUUUUAUUUAUUAUUUAAUGAUGAUAAAUCAGGAAAGUAUUAGAUAGCUAAAAAGAAUAGAUAGCAUGGUAUUGUAGCAAGCCCGCCACGCAUACAAGACUCCAGGAGUUCCAACAAAACUUGAGAUAAACAGAAAUAAUAAUAAUCAACUGCUCCUGAUUUUAAGAUCGUUUUAUAUAAUCUAAUGACUGACAGUAUGAACACAACAACAAUUACAAUAAAUAAAGCGAUUUUAGUAAUUCCUUAAGAGAACGUGCUUUGAAGGAAUCUUCUAGAAUCCAGCUGGCAUUGAGAAGUAUGAACAAUGGCAAAACUCGAAUUGCGUAGACACAGAGUAAGACACUUUGUCGUUUUCGUUUUCUGAUUUUUGUUUGAUUUUUGGUAUUUUUUUUUAAUGCUUUAAGCAUAGAACGUAUGGGUAUGUAACGUGACUACGAUACACAAACUAGUUCCAUUUACCGAAAUUAAGAAAGAGUCUUUUAGUGAGAGUUCUGAAGAACGGUACGAAAUGAAGUAAGCUGGUCUUUCGAGUUUUGCCAUUGACUGAUACUUCCUCAACGUUCGUGUUGUCCAGUUGGAGACAACAACUCUUCCAGUCAAUGCUUAUUUCUGUCUGGCUUUCUCAGUCCCAGUUGUAAACGUCAUGCCCUGGCACCCUAAACAAAAGAUUUUCGAUGAAAGAACUACAGCACACCACACUGCUGAUAACAUUUUCAAAAUUCAGUAGUGCUUUCUUUUUUCCUUUAUUGAUAUUUUUUCUAUUCAUUUCCUUUGCUUCUUUUAAUUAUCUUUCUUGUGAUGCACUCUCGAAGGAAGGGAAAACACAAAAAGAGAAAAAUAUAUACUGUUUUCAUUGACAUAAUUCAAGUCAUUUGUCAGACGAUUUUUUCCUUUCUUCCUUAUUUUUUCAACCUGUUUCUUAGCAGAGCUAAUUUCAAUAGCUUUGUAGUGUAUAAAUAUAUAUGAACUGGCGGGGUGUGCCUUUCUCACACCGCCAACGAUUACUGGACAUUUUAGAAGUUGCAAGGAGAAACUCAGAAUGCCAUACAUACUUAUACGUACAUAUGUGUGUGUGUAUGUUGUGUGUGUGCGCGCGUGUGUGUGUGAUUUGACAAUUAUGGCAAAAUUGUGCAAAAUUUAUUCACUCCAUAAUGUAUUUUAAAGUGAAACAUUUGUAAAAGCAAUGACUUCCAAUGGUUUGUUUUGUUAUGUUUUUUUGUGUUUUUUUGGUGAUGGGGACAUUUUUGUUCUUAUUUAGUUUCUUUUUGUUGGGUUCUUUCUCUUUUUUGCAACCAAAUAUUUUAUCACAAAUUUGAGAAAUCAAGGCCGAUUAUGUAAAUUCUGUCAACAUAAAAUUUUAAACUAUAUAAAGCUAAAGAAUUAAAAUCCAAAAUGAAAAUAAUUGAAACAACGUAGCUGAAUCUCGUCAGUUUUCUUGUUUUCUGUUGUGGUUGUUGUUGUUUUUAUCAGCAACAAAUUUGCGAUUUUCAGAAAACAACAAAAAAAAAACCCAUCUUAUUAAAUAGCUUUGGAAGUCUUGUUUUUUUAAAUGUAUCGGACAUUAUUUUUCAAAUAAAAGAAUAUUUAAUUUCUGUGUGCGAAUAUGUUUGUGUAUGUGUUCAUGUAGCUAUGUUCCAUCUAUAUAUUGUUAGAUGUAUUAUUAUUAUUAUUAUUAUUGUUGUUGUUGUUGUUGUUGUUUUUGUUGUUGUUGUUAUCAUUAUCAUCAUUAUCAUCAUCAUUAAUUUUAUUAAACCUGGCAGUAGAUGUGUGUGUGCGUGUGUCUGUGGUUUUCUUAAUGUUUACGUGCAUCUUAUUUAUUCUACUAUAUUAUCUCCUGUAUAAGUUACAUGCAGAUAAGGCUGACUCGAUGCGUAUGAAUAGUUACAUAUAUGUUACAAUAUAUACCAUAUAUGUAUUCACUAUGUCAGUAUGUGUGUGUGUAUGUAUGUUUGUGUGUGAAUGUACCUAUUUUUCCAAGAUCAUGCUGAAUAAUUAAAUUCCCCUGUAUACCAUCCUUCUUAUGUGUUAAUGUGUGUUUAUGUAAAUAUGUCCUCAACCACCACUACCACUAUUUACUAAAUAACGUCAUCCUUGCGUCGUGUGUUAAAUUUAUAUGAGGGUAACAAAUUAUAUAUAUAUAAAUAUAUAUAUACAUCGAUUACGUACAUUUAUGAACUGAAAGUAAGAAAGUUAUGAAAUGAAAGAUGGCACCCAUAGCCAGCCCGGCAAAACAACAGUAAGAAAAUUUGUGGGGGGAGGUCAGUUGAGUUUUAUUGAAGACCUCAAGGUGACGAUGCUUAAAUCAGUUCUUUGUGGAAACUUUGGGAACGUACGGUUUUCUAUCACCUUGCUUCUAUAGUUCGUUUAUUGAUAUGCUAAUAAACACAUUGGAUACAUGUUCAAAUUCAUUAACAGUACCAUCAAUUGUAUCAAUAACAAUAGAAGCAUGUGUACAUUUGAUGGCAAUUUUAAAGAUAACUAAUACAAUUGCCUUUAGACAGUGAAUCAUAAAUCAAAGAUAAUAUCGCUGAUAACCAACAAACAGAUCCGGUACCAGUUGGUCUAUAGCAUUCUUAAUCAUUUACAGUGGCCGAUUGUACAAAGGUGUUGACUUUUGUAGCUGAAGCACUGUGAGUUCGUGUCUCGUCACUGGUGUUAUGUUAUACACUAGACAAGGCGUUAGAUAUAUUUUCGUCCAACUUUCAUAUGACAAAUGAGAACGAAGGACGAGAUACGAAGACGUCUAAGCGCCGAACUAACAGACAAUUAUCAAGUAUUUUGACAAUUUACAGAGCCAAAAUCGAUCUUUUUUUAUAAUAGAAAAUAAAUAUAAUUUAAAUAAACCUAAUUCCUUAUGUGUGGCGUGUGUGUGUGUAUGUGUGUAUGUGUGUGUGUGUGUGUGUGUGUGUGUGUGUGUGUGUGUGUGUGUGUGUGUGUGUGUGUAAUUAUAUACAUAUACGUGAGUGUACAUGAAUAUAUCAAUAGACUUAUUACUGUGUAUGUAUGCAUGUACAUUCGUUUAUAGGGAUGUAUAUACAGAUAUACAUAUGUGUGUGUGCAUGUGUGUGUGUGUAUUUUUUUUUCUGUGCUGAUCUUUACAAUAUAUAUAUAUUUAUUUCUAUAUAAAAAGAUAAAUCAUUCCAAAACAAUGACGUGGUUGUUUCAAAAACAGAAACUUCUUUUCUCCUUGCAACUUCAAUUUAAUCUUUUCAAUUCUUUGCUUUUUUAAUGUAUUUACGAUUUCAUAACUUAUCGAUUUGGUCGCUUAAGCCAACAGGUGUGAUCAAGCUUGAAGAAGGCUAACAUUUGCUUUUUCCCUCUCAUCUUAUAUAUAUGUACACAUACACACACACACACACACACACACACACACACACACACACACACAUGAAUACAUGUCUAUAUAUAUAUUCAUGUGUGUAUGCCUGUUUAGACAUUCCAAAGUACCUUUUUGGGUACAUAUGCAUAUAUAUAUAUGUAUAUACACACACAUGCAAUCAUACAUACUUAUAUAUAAUGUGUGUGUGUGUGUGUGGAUAAAUGUGUGUUUGAUUUUUUUUGUUCAUCAACUUGUAUUUACCACAUUAUCUAAACACAUACCAAAUCAAUCGUUUCGCUCACUAUUCACAAAUUCUUACGAAAUAUUCACAUUACAAACAUUUGUCAUCUAACAAUAACAACAACAAAAAUAUUUGUACUUUCAACAUUCACAAACAAUAAAAAUAGUUAAAAACGCUUCCCCUCUUCCAUAUACAAUUUACAUAAUGCAUAUUUCAAGUGAAAAUUUAUUCCUUUUCGGGUGUGAAUGUCUAUUUAUAGAACCUAUGAGAAGCCUGUGAGCAAACGUGCUACAUGUCUAUAUACAUAUAUAUAUAUAUAUAUAUAUAUGGUAUUUCAAGACUAAUAACCUGGUGUAGAAUUCAACAUAGAUAUGCAUCAGAACUGAACAGAGAGUCGAGUACAGGGCGGUUAUAAUAAAAUAAGAUGACAAACAAAUAAAAGAUUAAACGAUUAUCUUGUGAACGUCAUUAGCUUACAGCUGUUUCUGCUACAGAUGAAGUGGACUCUUAGUUGAGUGCCUCAAUAAUACUUCUUGCUUCAUUGAAGCGUCAAAUGUGAAGCAAUGUUACUCAGGCAUUCAACUGUUCUUUUCUCAUUCAUUAAUUUUUAUAUAUAUAUACAUAUAAUAGCUAUUAACGUUAUAUCCAUAUAUAUAUAUAUAUAUGCAUGUAUGUAUGUAUUUAUUAAUAUAUAUAUAUGUAUGUAUGUAUGUAUGUAUAUACUUACAUACAUAACUACCAACACGUGCGUAGGUAUAUACAUUAUACGCAUUAAUAGAUAUUUCGCAAGGAUCUGUGUGUGAGUAUCGCUCGCUUUAGAGAGGGAAGAUAUAUAUGUAUGCGUAAGUGGGUGGGCUGGGAAAAAAGUAAGUUGGUAUGUGAGUAGGUGAAUAGACAGAUUGGUAGGUAGGGAGGCGGAUUAGACCUCAUUUAUAAUUUUUAGUAUUUGAACCAUAUAUACAUUUUGGUAGAGGCAGGCACACUAGUAAACAUACGUACAUACAUCACCACAAAGAUAUACCUUAUAGAUAUAUAUAUGUAUGUAAGAAAAAACACACACGCCAAAUAUUCCUGAAGAUGAGACUGUGAAGGUCUGGAACCAUCGAAUAUGAAUUUAAGAACUUCGUGUUCCAAACUGUUUUAUCAUUUUUAGAAUAUAAAAUAAUAAAACAUUAACACAGUCAUGUAUUUAAUGAAACCUACUCACACACAGAUAUACAUAUAUAUAUAUAUGAGUUGUGUGUGUGAGUGUGUGCGUGCGUGCAUUUUUGUCAGGCGACAUGUUAUCCAUCCUUUCCUCUUAAAUGGCUAAAAUGCGCUUAAUAACGUUAGUGUAGGCUGAAAGUGUAAACAUAAUGAAGAUUCCCUGAAAUGUAGAUAAAUCUCCGUAUUGACAGUAAUAGUUCUAUUAGCUAGCUUAGUCUGUUCAGAUUAACUAAAUUGACCAGUUUUUAUAGAGAAUUAACCAAGGAAACUCUCUGUUGCUGUUGGCCUUGGUGGAAUUAAAGGCCAAAACUUCUUCAGAUUACAAUUUAAUAUCUUGGAAAAGAUGUGAGAGAUCGAAUGACAUCGUAUAAAAUAGGCAAGGCUUUAUGAAUGACGGUUUGGUUAUUGCCUCUGAUCAGAGGCCAACGCAAUGAAGGCUGACAUGAGCUAAGACAACAACAACAGCGUCAACCACAACAAUAAUAUAACUAAACGAAUUCACCAUUUCCUACAUAAUUACAUCCGUUAACUAAAGCGUAUUUUCGAUAUUGAAAGAGAAUAAUGUCUGGAUGUAUCUACGGAGCCUACAAACAGUUAAAAGAUAAUCUCAAAGUAAUCUCGAAACGGUAUUUUUCAUAAAAUAUGAAGAGAUGGCAACAAAUGUUCUGGGCUUUUUUUAGGCUCCUUCUCACUGUUAUCACUGAUGUAAUUGAUGUACAUUAUAAGCAGUAAUGGGUCAGUAUUGGCAGGAAAAGCAUAAGUGGAGAAGGCAUUCUAGGGGUUUGUGAUUUUAUUGGGGGACGGGAUGUCCUCAGAGCAGGGGUUGACAAGUUUGGAGGAAAUGUGUAUCAAGUAAGGGAAGGAAGCCGAAGUAGCGAGGAAAACACAGUAUCUCUAAUGGUGUUAUUAAAAUCGCUAUUGCUUAUGCAUCAAACUCAUUAGUUAAGUUACAAGAUUUUAUCCAAAGCGAAUUAAACUAAAAUGCAUCUUUAAGAGCCUCUCUAACACGAUUCUCUACAGGAAUCGAUGCAGUUGUGUUUGUUUCCUAUGAACUUUGAUUUUUCCAAAGUCCAUAAUGCAGAGCAGUUUAUGACAAUGCUUGUGUGCACACUACUAAACCUUCAUAUUGCACUAAAACUUUCUUGCACUUCAACAAGGGCAUACACGGCUUUAUAUAGUCAACAGUUUUUUAACAUGUUAUAUUUUACAGUAUACAUCACGUCAUACAGUACCAUGGUAUGACACGUAUUCUUGCAUUAAUAAUAUAGGUAUGUAU